CCCAUUUUCCCCUUUUCAUUUUACUCUAGCUCCAGUCAUAUUUUCCCCAGAUCUGAACCCUUUUUACUUUUCUCUUAUCUCCAAUUACGUUUUCGGUUUCCCCCAAUUCACUCUAAUUCCUCAGGCCAUUUUCCCUUUUAAUUUCUCUCUUUGAAAUCCCUCAAAUCCAGUAGUCCGGUGAGAGAUCUCCAGAAGAUCAGUGUCCGUUUUGCUAACAUUCAGACUAUCUUCUCAGUAUCGUCUUAUUCAACCCAUGAACUCGGAAGUCGGUGAUUUCUAUAGCAAACGCAAAAGGCACUCUGUACAAAAUUAAUUUUAGUUGAUGACUUGCAUGAAGCACAAGAUGAGGAUAAGAAUGAAAUUGUAAUCAUCAUGCGUCUACUUUUUCCUAACAAUUUGGUUGGAUGCCUUUUAGGAAGAAAAGGCGAUGUUAUUCAGAAAUUGCAAAGUGCGACUGGGGCAAGCAUUCAUGUUCAAUCUGCUGAGCAUCUUCCAGUUUGUGCUAUGACCAUUGAUGAACUGGUCCAAAAUGCAGGAAAGGCUCAAUGCACAAUAGGGUGCUAUGGAACAAGAUAUUAUAAUGAAUGUCCUUGCACGACUUCAGCGUCGACUUGAUCCUAACAUGCUAAUAUUACGAGCACUGGAGAAGCUUCCUCUGCACAACAAACUGCUGUUCAACUAAACAAUCGUCCAUCUGCUGGCAGUAACAAUCAAGGUGGAGUAGAUGAAGAAAUGGAAGAUAGAAACAGUGAAGAUCUAGACCUUACUUAAAAAGAAUUUUGAAUUGCUGUAGAUGCAUGGUCUAGAAAUGUUUAUUAUUAACAUUUUGAAACUUACUUUUUAACUCUUUAAAUGUAAGACUUAUGUACUUGGGGUGGAACAUUUCACUCUUAUGGAUAUUAUUAGC